rnacentral:rRNA from 1 species
UACGUAGGGCGCGAGCGUUGUUCGGAAUUAUUGGGCGUAAAGAGCUCGUAGGCGGCUUGUCGCGUCGGUUGUGAAAGCCCGGGGCUUAACCCCGGGUCUGCAGUCGAUACGGGCAGGCUAGAGUUCGGUAGGGGAGAUCGGAAUUCCUGGUGUAGCGGUGAAAUGCGCAGAUAUCAGGAGGAACACCGGUGGCGAAGGCGGAUCUCUGGGCCGAUACUGACGCUGAGGAGCGAAAGCGUGGGGAGCGAACAGG